CAAAUGUUGUCAUAUGACUAAAGCUGUUGUGUGAAAAUGUACGGCUGUGUUGAUCCCUGUGAAAGUUUGAGGCGGUCUGGUUUAGGAUUUAUUUUAAAAGUUUUGCUGUGUAUAUGUCCCGUUGGGGCUGUUAUUCAGUCCGCCGUGAUUGAGAAAAAAACUGGAAAGCUAUUGUUGAUUGAAGGCUAUCAUGCUGACAAUGUGGCUUGGGCGAAUUUCACAGAUGACAUCCCCAAUUCAGGCUGGGCGUAUCUGGAGGUGAGCACUAGUGGGCGCUACAAUGACACAAUUCAGGCAUACGCUGCUGGGGCAUUGGAGGGUGCCCUUACCGCACAGCACAUCUACAAGCACUGGAUGAACACAAUUGUUGGCUACUGUGGGCCAUUUGGAUAUGACACAGUUUAUUGCCAGAAACUAAAGGAGUAUAUCAUGGCUAAUCUUCAGUGGGUUGUGAAACAGAUAGAGAAAGAUGCUGACUCUGAGUACUGGCACCAGGUCCAUCUGGCUCUGUUACAGCUUCGAGGGAUGGAGGACGCCUACAAUGACCAGCUGUCUUUCCCUACGGCCGUCCCAAACCUCAAUCCAUUUGGGUUUCUAUUGUUUCAGAUGGGUGGAGACUUGGAGGAUCUGGAGGCUGCGCUAAAUAAAAGUAGCCCAUCACGGACCCUUGGCUCAGGCUCUUGCUCUGCCCUGGUCAAACUGCUGCCAGGCAACAAGGAGUUGUUGGUAUCGCAUGACACAUGGAAUACUUACCAGUCCAUGUUAAGGAUCAUGAAGAAGUAUUCCUUCUCCUACCACAUUUCACCAAAAGAUGAGAAGCCAAUUCCUGGGGCCGUUCAGGCCUUCUCCUCCUACCCUGGAUCCAUCUUUUCAGGCGAUGAUUUCUAUAUCCUCAGCAGUGGGUUGGUUGCCUUGGAGACCACAAUUGGAAACAGUAACCCUGCCUUGUGGAAGUAUGUGGUACCUCAAGGUACAGUGAUGGAAUGGCUCAGAAAUGUUGUUGCCAAUCGUCUAGCACAGACAGGCAAACAGUGGGCUGAUGUCUUCAGCAAGUUCAACAGUGGAACGUAUAAUAAUCAAUGGAUGAUUGUGGAUUAUAAAUUCUUCAAACCAGGCAGAACAGAUAUCACAGAGCAGCUCUUCACUGUUCUGGAGCAAAUUCCAGGUUCAAUUAUGAUCCAGGAUAAAACCACAGAGCUUUAUGAAACAGGUUACUGGGCUAGUUACAACAUCCCGUACUAUGAGGAGAUCUUCAAUGCCAGUGGCUGCCAGGAGCUGGUUCAGGAGUACGGGUCCUGGUUCUCGUUCGAUAUGAACCCGAGGGCUCAGAUAUUCAGACGCAAUCAAACCUUAGUGACUGACCUGAAGUCUAUGGUGCAGCUCAUGAGAUACAACAAUUUUGAGAAAGAUCCCCUGUCCCAGUGUGAGGGUUGUGACCCCAAACAUAACGGAGAAAAUACCAUCUCUGCACGCUCUGAUCUGAACCCUGCCAACGGCACCUACCCCUUUGGAGCUUUGAGACAGCGGUGUCAUGGUGGAACAGACAUGAAGUUGACGUCCUACGGCAUGUAUAAGGAAUAUCAGAUGUUAGCUGCCAGCGGCCCUACGUGGGACCAGGUGCCUGCAUUCCAGUGGAGCACCUCUCCUUACAGUGAUCUGCUGCACAUGGGCCACCCAGACCGCUGGGACUUUCCCACAGUUCAUGUCAGAUGGGGCACUGUCUGAACUCAAAUUAGCACCCUUGUAAUAUGCACGAACACACACAAAUACAUACAUACAUACACACACACACACACACACACACACACAUUCACAAACAUGCAUCCAUAUGCACACACAAACACACUCAGGAUUCCCAGUCAUCGUGAUCAUUAUGUCUAAAUCAACCAAAGGUUCCAGCGUGACACUAUGUAGAGAAAAGAAGGCACUGAAAGGACAGAAAGGGAAAACACAAGCCAAUUAUUGCUGGCUUACAUUUUUAAUCAAUCAAUGGUUUGAGUUCAUUGUUGAUUUAGUUUUCUGUUUGAUUCUGAUGGUUUCUUGCUGUUUUGUUUUCCGUGAAUAAAAUUGUUAUAUAACAGAAA